CAGCUGAGCUUAAUUAGCAGGUGAAAUCGGAGGGACAGAUCUUGCCGCAGUUGUUGAGGAUGAGGCUGAGAUCGACGGGGAUGUUGAGGUUGAUGAUCCCAAGAACGUUGGCCUUGAUGGCGGUGCAGAGGCAGACGGCGGCGUCGAGGUCGGCUAGGCCGGACAGCAGCGGGCAGCAGUCGUCGGGGCCAGCUCCGAUCUUGACGCCGACGAGCCCGUUGAGCACGUUGGCACACACCCUCAGCUUCAAGGCGUCGAUCGGGCAGCGCCCAUGGCCGUGGCCGCCGUGGUGGUGGUGCGCCGGCGGCGUCGGCACCACCACCGGCGGCGUCGGGAUGACCGGCGGCGCCCCUCCGGGGCAGUAUGGCGCGCAGCCGUGCGCAGCGGCGGCGAAGAGGAGGAUGGUCAGGGCGAGGAGGGGAGCGAUCUUGGAAUAAGCCAUUGCUCAAGUGUGAUGAAGUGAUCGAGCUUAGCUAGUAGAGUUAAUUAGCUAGCUAAGGCUGCUUUAAUUAGC
rnacentral:lncRNA from 1 species